rnacentral:misc_RNA from 1 species
GAUGAAGAACGCAGCGAAAUGCGAUACUUGGUGUGAAUUGCAGAAUCCCGUGAACCAUCGAGUCUUUGAACGCAAGUUGCGCCCGAAGCCACUAGUCCGAGGGCACGCCUGCCUGGGCGUCACACGUCGUUGCCCCCCCAUCUACUCCUUCGGGAUUGCGGGGGGGCGGAUGAUGGCCUCCCGUGCGCCUAGCCGCGCGGUUGGCAUAAAUACCAAGUCCUCGGCGACGCACGCCACGACAAUCGGUGGUUGCGAAACCUCGGUUGCCCGUCGUGUGCGUUCGUCGCGCAUCGAGGGCUCGAAAAAAUGCUCGGCUCCGGCUGGGCUUUCAACGCGACCCCAGGUCAGGCGGGGUUACCCGCUGAAUUUAAGCAUAUCAAUAAGCGGAGGA